rnacentral:RNase_P_RNA from 1 species
AACCACGAAUGCCGAGAGGGCAUAAGGCGAGAGUCUUGGCUCUGGUAUAGAAACGAUACCGUGCCAUAUUAAAGCGAUGAUUCCGUAAGUAUGAGGUCGUAUGGUCACGGAUGGAACGACCAACCUCGUGGGUGCAAGCCUUAAGAAGGCGCAAAGAUAAAUGCCGCGGAAACAGAAGGGGGCUUACUCUCCUCACUC